GGCUUUGUCAGCUGGCAGGGAAUCUUCUGUUUUCGGCUACUUUCGGUGGAGUGACUAAAGCAAAACAGUGCUUUGUCUGCUGCUUGGACUUUCCUUCAACUGAUGGCUGCUUUCGGCAAAAGCGAACAGGGCUUUGUCUGCUGCUUUCCCACGAUUUGAUAAUUUCCUUUGACAAAGUAAAUUGUCGGCAACUGCGAGGCGUGCAACUGGGGCAAUUAUGAAAGGAAUCCCUAGUCAGACCCGAGGUCAUAGCCAUCAUAGGGAUCCUGGCUGUCAUCAUACCAAGUCUUUGGCUUGGCAGGGCUCUGCAUGGGCUGGCAACUAGACGACGAGGGAGAAUCAUUGUCCUCAUCAUCAUCCAUUUGAGAGGCC
rnacentral:lncRNA from 1 species